GAAGGACAGACUUGUGAACUAAGUGAACUGCAAUCAGAAGAGUCCUCUUUGUACUACUUGAUGUCAAGAAUGUUUACACCCUGGUGAAAUGCUCUGAACUUCUGCAGUUGAGUGCAGGGAUCCAGGACACCUGAAGGCCACCACACAGCCGAGUGAUAGCUCUGAAGCUCCCCAGUAGAAGCACCUGGACUGAGUGUGCAACAAGACUUCAGUCAACACCAGCCCCGAAAGUCACUGAACUCUGUAACAUCGGGCCCCGGCAGGAAAUGUCAACAGGCCUCUGGCUGGGGCCCUCAUUCCAUGCUUUCCUUUCCUCUGCUUCCCAGUUCCUCACCCAGGGGCAAUAUUUAGAAAGCAGAGACUCCCAGCUCCAUCCGUCCCUUCUGGCAUAAGGGUGAGCCAUUGCAUCACAAAUUCUGCCUUAGGAAAGGAGUCACCUUGACCCACUGUGCUUGUGAUACUUGGAGAAGAGAGGGCUGUCACAGGAACAACAGCAAGAAGCCUGUGGCUGGAACAACAUCGUUUCCAUCACAGUGGAAAAAAAAAAUAAGAAACAAGAGCAUCAUCAGCACGCUCAGUGCAUCGGAUCAGACCACGGAGUUGUUGACAGAAGCUUGGCGAGGCUUGCCAGCUUUCCACACGAAACGUUGGCUUUCUUCUCAUCCACCCCCUACUGUUUGUGUCUUUGCCAAUUGUAGCACAUCAGAGCGACCAUUGAGAUAAUGACCGUGAAGUCUCAUGAUACACUUUGAUGAAGUGUAACAUUUUUUAAAGGAUUUUUGUCUGUGCCAAAAUGAUUGAGGCAGCUGACUAAAAAUCACCCCAUCAAAAUCAAGGCUGAUGAACAGCAGGCAGGGGCCUGAGCUUCCCCAGAGAAGAUGGGGAGUUUUUGCAGCCAAAGUAUCUUUCUUUCCUUGUGUAUGUGCACCGCAGAUUUUUUUAAAGCCAUCUUUGUUUCAGAUGAAUAUAUGUCAGUGACUGAUGCUUCAGGCUCCAACAUUUUAAAAUUCUUUUUUCCUAUCAACCCCCAGAAGAUACAAAGAAUGAUUCCUU